rnacentral:lncRNA from 1 species
CCCUAUUCAGCGAUCAGACCGCGCACUUCGUUCAACGCAGAAAACCCAACGUGCUCUGCUGCUGAAAGGGCCGCCGGAGGCCUUCCCCUUGCAGCGGAGGAAAGGAUUGCCGCGUCGGCUUUGAUUGUCCUUUCGCCGUCAUCUCCUCCGCCGCAACGGCUAGCCCCUCCUUUAGCUGUUAGCUUCCGAAGGGGAAAGGCCCGCCGCCGCUAGCCCGCCGGCGGCGGCGCCGAGAAUGGCAACCACGUGGGGUUCCAGCCUCGUCCAGCUCCUCCGGGUUCGACGUGUGUAUGUUAAGAC